UUUAGAGCUAUUAGUGUAAUUAAGAGAUGAAAUGUUUUUAAACUAAUAGAACUGAUAAGNGAAAGCAAGCCUUUAUUAAUAACUGACGUUGAGGGACGAAGGCUUAGGUCGCGAAUAGGAUUAGAUACCCUAGUAGUCUAGGCAGAAAAUUAUGAGUGUUAUAUUUUAUUACUAAAUUAGUUAAAAAUUAGCAAGAUUAAAGCCUUUGGCUCCUAUAGUUAGAACUUUGUUCAUAUAGUAAUUUUGUAGUAAGGNNNCUAAAGCGCUAUAAAGUAUAAAUGAAAGUGUAAGCAUUCCACCUCAAGAGUAAUGCGGCAACGCAGGAACUGAAAUCAUUAGACCGUUUCUGAAACCAGUAGUGAAGUAUGUUAUUUAAUUCGAUGACCCUCGAAAAACCUUACCACAAUUUGAANNUUGUCUAGCGAUAAUAAAGCUAUCUNAUUCUNGAUAGAUAAUACAAGUGUUGCACGGCUGUCUUCAGUUAAUGUCGUGAGAUUUAGGUUAGAUCCGCAUAAUUAACGUAAACCCAUAUUUUUGUUUAGCUAAAGAAUUUUUUUUCUCUAACAAAAGUAGUUCGCCAUUACAACGGUAAUGAUAAA
rnacentral:rRNA from 1 species